rnacentral:rRNA from 1 species
GUAUCCUGACCGUGCWAAGGUAGCAUAAUAAUUUGCCUUUUAAUUGGUGGCUUGUAUGAAUGACGAUUUAAAAUUUUAGCUGUCUCUUUUAUAUAUAUAAAAUUUAUAUUUGAGGUGAAGAUACCUUAAUUUAGUUAAAAGACAAGAAGACCCUAAAAGCUAAAAUAUGAGUUUUUAGUAAAAAUAUGAUUUUAUUAUUAAAUUAAAAUUGUUGAGUGGGGCGCUAGAGGAAAAUUUUUAUCUUCCUUUAAAUAUAUGAAAAAUAUUUCUUAUAUGUUAAUUAAAAAAUAUAAAAAGUUAAGUUACUUUAGGGAUAACAGCCUUAUUUUCUUUUAGAGUACAAAUUGACAAGAAAGUUUGGGACCUCGAUGUUGGCUUAGGAAUUCCUUUGAUGUAGAGGUCAAAAAGGUUAGUUUGUUCAACUAUUAAAAUCC